UACAGAGGGUGCGAGCGUUAAUCGGAAUUACUGGGCGUAAAGCGUGCGUAGACGGUUAUUUAAGUCGGGUGUGAAAGCCCCGGGCUCAACCUGGGAACUGCAUUUGUGACUGCAUAGCUAGAGUACGGUAGAGGGGGAUGGAAUUCCGCGUGUAGCAGUGAAAUGCGUAGAUAUGCGGAGGAACACCGAUGGCGAAGGCAAUCCCCUGGACCUGUACUGACGCUCAUGCACGAAAGCGUGGGGAGCAAACAGG
rnacentral:rRNA from 1 species